rnacentral:misc_RNA from 1 species
GCGCGGCGCAAUACAACUAAUUCCGAAAACGUAUGGCACGCGGAACAGUUUUAGCUGAAAUUUAGCUUAGACAGAAAACUGUUGACGCUUACGUAUUACCUAUGUACAUGUUUUCAAUUGGAGGCAAUAUGAUUAAUUGACUAUGUAUGUACAUAAUGUUUAAAAAUGUGGGAGCUUGAGCAGUGAAGUACUAGUAAACUAUGCUAAAAAGAAAACGCUAAUAUGUACAUACAUAUGUAUGUACAUACACUAAACAGGAAAAAGUUGGUUUUCAGCUCACUCGGAUGUGCUUGUUUUUGAAAAAAUGACAAUUAAUUGAUUAUAUAAACUAUACAUGUGUACAAAGGAUUAAAAAAUCAGUGGAGUGCUCGAGUUGCCUAAUUAUUGUUUGCUUAAAGUUAACAAUUCAAAUGAAUAUAAAUGUUUCGAUGGAUAACACAUAUUGCAGCUGUUCUUGAACAUUCAACAGAAAUGGCUUCCAAUAGUAGCAGUCAAUCUGUAAAGAACAAAACAGUCAUACCGCCACGCCACAUGGGAAAGGAACAGAACGGCUUAACUUCAAAUGCGGGACCGAUACUCGAAAAGGAAUGCUACUACUACACCCCAACUACCUCCCAGCAACAUCAACAGAUUCAACAAGGCUGGCAAUCUCUAUGGGCUUUUUUUGGGCCCUGGCUGAGUGCAAUGACCGCCUAUCGAUUGCUGACAAUCAGCCUCCUAAUUGGUAUUCUGUGUCCACAUCACAUUCAAGGCGCGGAUCCUAAAUUCGAUCCUUCGACGCGCAUGCGACUGGUACUGGUGCCGGCGGACGCGCAAGUAAACUCAGUUAUCUACAGAUUGCGUGCCACUGACGAGGAGUUCGACUAUCCAUUGACCUUUGAGUUUGUGGGUGAUGCAUUUUCGUCCACCGUCAAAGUGGAUUCGCUUCCAUGCACCAAGUACAAUUCGGUUUGCCAAGCAAACAUCGUGCUUCAGCGUCGCUUGGAGCCUGGCCGCUAUUACGACUUCCAGGUUUCAGUGAAGGACUCAAAAGGUGGCAUGGCCACUCAAUUGUGCUCAAUUACAGCAACCAAUUUUACCACACCUCAUGACCUCAUAUUUCCACACAAGCCCGGUAUUAUAAUGAUACCUGAGGAUGCUAAACGCGGCACGGAAUUAAAUUACGUAAUUGCGCGAAAGAAUCCACUGUUUCAAAAACCAGUCUACCUCGAGUUAUGGGGUUCUCCGCUUUUUGCGAUAAGACAAAAAAUUGUAUCGUCCGAAACAACAGAAGGUACAGUUUUUCUUUUGGGACCAUUGGACUUCGAAAAGCAAGCCAUGUACCAUCUAACUAUACUUGCCAAUGAUGCUUACGCUGAACCUGGCCAAGAUAGUCGCAACAUCGCUGGCAUGGAAAUUGUAGUCAUCGUCCAGGAUGUUCAAGACCAACCUCCUGUUUUCACUUCGGCGCCGCCAGUUACCAAACUGCCUACUGGCAUUCUACCAGGCGAUAAGAUAUUGCAAGUACAUGCGGAGGAUGGCGACAAAGGAAACCCGCGGGAGAUUCGAUUUGGAUUGGUCUCGGAGAACAACCCAUUUACUUCGUUUUUUGACAUCAAUGACACAAGCGGUGAAAUAUUUUUAAUGCGACCUCUUGAAGAUAUUGCUUUUAUAACGCAUGUGGGUGAUCCAGUGCUGCUUACGGUAAUUGCGGAAGAAGUUAAAGUUGGUCGUGACGAACCGCCAGCAUUGGCAUCUACUGUGCAAUUGGCGUUCUUUCUGCCAGAUCGUACCAAUUCACCGCCAUACUUCGAAAACGAUCACUACGUUUCGAGGGUAGACGAAAAUGCACCGCAAGGCACAGCACUAAUAUUCGUUGACCCAUAUGUACCGCGCAUCUAUGACGACGACACUGGAAAAAAUGGAGUUUUCUCGCUGACGUUGCUAAACAAUAAUGGAACAUUUGAGAUAACACCAAAUGUAGCAGAGCGCAGUGCAUCGUUUCUAGUGCGCGUACGAGAUAACACACUGUUAGACUACGAAAUGCGACACUCUGUACAGUUUCAGGUGAUGGCCCAGGAAGUGGGUCCGGCUACUAAUCUCACAGCCGUUGUAAACGUCACCGUCUACAUCAAUGACGUUAAUGAUAAUGCACCAGUCUUUGACCAGCCCUCCUACACAGUGGAGCUUCCCGAGAAUAUGACAGUGGGAACUAAGGUGGUUCAAGUGCAUGCCACUGACUUAGACUCGGGAUUGGGUGGCAAAGUACGAUAUACUGCCAUUCUGGGGUAUCUAAAUACAUCUGUUAACCUCGAUGCAGAGAAUGGAUUAAUCACAAUAUCGACAAAUAAUCAUGGCUAUGAUCGCGAGGUAAUGCCGGAAUAUCACCUGUACGUAGAGGCUCGGGACAUGGAUGGUGAAGGUAAUCGAGCACAAGUCCCUCUAAUCAUUAAGCUAAUAGAUGUUAACGAUGAGACGCCAAUAUUUGACAAGGAUCUGUAUGAGUUUAUUUUGACGCCGGAUCUCUUGGGCUUCACCACCACGGCCGUAAUUAAUGCGGAAGACAAAGAUGCAACGGCACCCAACAACGAAGUGCGGUACGAACUGAUCAGUGGCAACUAUGAAAACAAAUUUAAGCUGGACAAGGUCACCGGGGAAUUGACAAUUCAGGAUAAGAUUCACCUGCGGUCCAUGACGGACGCCAGUGAACGAAGACAUCGGGAUCCAAGUACAUCGUCCAGUUCUGACGAUGACAACGAAGUGUUUAUUUUAACUGCGCGUGCUUACGACCUAGGAGUGCCUGUGCGAUUUUCGACAACAACAAUUCGCAUCUACCCACCUGAAAGUCGGAAGCGCAUGGUGACUUUUGUGGUACCUGGUCACAACCCAGAUAAGGCUAAAACUGAAGAAACGCUGUCUGCCAUAACCGGCGGAAAGGUGUUAAUUCACUCAAUACGACCGCUGCGACCUGAUGAGCCAGGUGCCAAAGACAUUCCUGUCAAUAAUCCAGGUAUCAAGGACCGAAGUGUCGUCACCGCUACGGUGCUAUAUGGCAGCACGUCAUUGGUUGACAUAUCGGAUAUACAGCAGCGUCUGUCCCAGCACAAUAAUUCCUAUGCAAUUAUGCCGCAAGACGACGCAUUACAGACGAACACUCAAUAUAAGGCUGAAAAUAAGGUGCUGUUCUGGCUGCUUAUACUUCUGGCCACACUGGUCGCAUUUACCGUCCUCAUCCUACUUCUUUGCUGCAUAUGCUCGUGGUGCCCUCUGUACGGUGCAGCAACGUCGCAGAGUGGAUGGGAAGACGCGAUGCCUGGUCAGCGGAGAAACCCCCGAAUACCAGAACGAAACCUACCCGAUGGGAGUUCCAUGACGGUCGUGAACAUCCUAGCGAAAACGUAGGGAGAUUUCAGGACACCCGAGAGAAACAUCAUGUACAAUCAGCUGAGGAGCAACAGGGACGCAUUAGAAAACAACGUACAGCCAAAGACGAUCUUCAUCUUAGUUUUCAUAACUCUAGAACUAAUCUUAUUAAUGACCGCGACGUAUACAUGGAAGACUU